CUCAUCCCGUCCUAGCGAGUCCGUGGAAGUGAGAAAGUGACAGCGACGGGCGGGGCGGUGCGGCUGCAUAUCAUAGGACCUCCCAAUGCUUUACAUAAAGACCAGUCCAUCCAGGUCACAGUUACAUCAACAGUCACGCUUUUGUUUUUCUUUUAUUUAGGGAACAUUGAAGUUAUAAAAAUGUCCUUUUAAACUGAUGCCGAGAAAGCUCGUGUGCCAUGGAUGCUAUAAUUUAGCAGUUUUAUAAUGGAAUGUUCCAGUCUCUUUGAGGGUUGGAAAACAUUUAAUGAUGAGGAAGUGUGACGAUGCAGGUUCUGGCUCCACGCUCCCAUCACUAUUCGGAAGCCCUUGAACCCAA